GGUCAAGGUAAAAUUGAAACACUUCAAACAUGCUACUGAAACACUUGAAAAAACACCUGAAAUGCACUUAAAACCCAUUGCAACUAUAUAUGCAAACAUCCAAAAUAAACGCAUUCAACUUCUGAAACAAUCCAAAAUAUACUAUUCCAACAUACGGAAACAAUUAGUACAACAUAUGCAACAUGUCCAAACAUUCCUCAAUCUACUUUUACAACAUCCAUAUGAUUCAACUGCAACAUAACUAUAAAACUCCCGAAACAAUUGAAACAAGCAAUUGCAACAUAGAAGGGGGAGAGAGAAAGCCUCGCGUGGAGAGCACCAUGGCUGCCG
rnacentral:lncRNA from 1 species